rnacentral:rRNA from 1 species
GACGUAGGGCGCGAGCGUUGUCCGGAUUUAUUGGGCGUAAAGAGCUCGUAGGCGGCUUGUUGCGUCGACUGUGAAAACCCGCGGCUUAACUGCGGGCUUGCAGUUGAUACGGGCAGGCUAGAGUUCGGUAGGGGAGACUGGAAUUCCUGGUGUAGCGGUGAAAUGCGCAGAUAUCAGGAGGAACACCGGUGGCGAGGGCGGGUCUCUGGGCCGAUACUGACGCUGAGGAGCGGAAGCGUGGGGAGCGAACAGG